CUUGUGCGGCAAGCUACACAUGCAGUCGAGCGGCAGCGGGAAAGUAGCUUGCUACUUUUGCCGGCGAGCGGCGGACGGGUGAGUAAUGCUUGGGGAUCUGCCCGGUCGAGGGGGAUAACCGUUGGAAACGACGGCUAAUACCGCAUACGCCCUACGGGGGAAAGCAGGGGACCUUCGGGCCUUGCGCGAUUGGAUGAACCCAAGUGAGAUUAGCUAGUUGGUGAGGUAACGGCUCACCAAGGCGACGAUCUCUAGCUGGUCUGAGAGGAUGACCAGUCACACUGGGACUGAGACACGGCCCAGACUCCUACGGGAGGCAGCAGUGGGGAAUAUUGCACAAUGGGGGAAACCCUGAUGCAGCCAUGCCGCGUGUGUGAAGAAGGCCUUCGGGUUGUAAAGCACUUUCAGUGGUGAGGAAAGGAGGUUGGCUAAUACCUGGCCUCUGUGACGUUAACCACAGAAGAAGCACCGGCUAACUCCGUGCCAGAGGGCGGGGGGUGUUUAUAA
rnacentral:rRNA from 1 species